GAGGGGGCGGUGGGGGGCGGGCGGUGCUCAUUCUCCGCCCCCAGUCGGGGUAG
rnacentral:miRNA from 1 species